rnacentral:rRNA from 1 species
CAUGGUUGUCGUCAGCUCGUGUCGUGAGAUGUUGGGUUAAGUCCCGCAACGAGCGCAACCCCUAUUGUUAGUUGCCAUCAUUCAGUUGGGCACUCUAGCGAGACUGCCGGUAAUAAACCGGAGGAAGGUGGGGAUGACGUCAAAUCAUCAUGCCCCUUAUGACCUGGGCUACACACGUGCUACAAUGGUUGGUACAACGAGUUGCGAGUCGGUGACGGCGAGCUAAUCUCUUAAAGCCAAUCUCAGUUCGGAUUGUAGGCUGCAACUCGCCUACAUGAAGUCGGAAUCGCUAGUAAUCGCGGAUCAGCACGCCGCGGUGAAUACGUUCCCGGGCCUU